rnacentral:lncRNA from 14 species
GUUUGGCAGCUUGAGAAGUUUAUACACACAUAUGGGGUUUAAAAGAGUUUUGUUUAAUGCUUUAUAUGUAAUUUAACCUAAUGUCUUGUACACUAAAAAGUCUAAACAGCAUAUGUUUUGAGAUCCAGGUGUUUCCCUGAGGGAAGCAGUGAAGAGGAAAACCUAGCAAUGUGAGACUGUAAACAACUACUCUGUAGUACUGUAUCUGGACACCAAUACAUAUUUCUUCAUGAUGAAAAAGAUAGUCCAAACCUGAACCCACGGGGAAUCCAACAUCUGUUCUGAAAAGGGGCUGAAGAGCUUUCCAAGUUACAGUCUCCAGCUGUUUCCAUCAACUUUGUUUUCUGAAAAAAAGAGACCUCUAUAGAGCCCUUCAGCUUUCUUCGAAGUGGCUCUUUGUUGAAACCUGCACUGCAUUUUUUUCAAUGAUCCCAGAGUAGUUGUCUUUCUUCUUUUCCCAAAACAAACAUCUCUUACCCAGC